UGAACGCUAGCUACAGGCUUAACACAUGCAAGUCGAGGGGCAGCAUGAAGUUUGCUUGCAAACUUGAUGGCGACCGGCGCACGGGUGAGUAACGCGUAUCCAACCUUCCCCUUACUAGGGAAUAGCCCGGCGAAAGUCGGAUUAAUGCCCUAUGUUCUCCUUUGCGGGCAUCUAACGAGGAGCAAAGAUUCAUCGGUAAGGGAUGGGGAUGCGUCUGAUUAGCCAGUUGGCGGGUAACGGCCCACCAAGGCGACGAUCAGUAGGGGUUCUGAGAGGAAGGUCCCCCACAUUGGUACUGAGACACGGACCAAACUCCUACGGGAGGCAGCAGUGAGGAAUAUUGGUCAAUGGACGAGAGUCUGAACCAGCCAAGUAGCGUGCAAGGAUGACUGCCCUAUGGGUUGUAAACUGCUUUUAUGCGGGAAUAAAGUCAGGUACGCGUACCUGUUUGUAUGUACCGCAUGAAUAAGGACCGGCUAAUUCCGUGCCAGCCGCCGC
rnacentral:rRNA from 1 species